UGGAGAGUUUGAUCCUGGCUCAGGACGAACGCUGGCGGCGUGCUUAACACAUGCAAGUCGAACGAUGAACUCCAGCUUGCUGGGGGGAUUAGUGGCGAACGGGUGAGUAACACGUGAGUAACCUGCCCCCUUCUUCGGGAUAACAUCGGGAAACCGGUGCUAAUACUGGAUAUGAGAUGUGCCUGCAUGGGUGUGUCUGGAAAGAUUUAUCGGGAGGGGAUGGACUCGCGGCCUAUCAGCUUGUUGGUGAGGUAGUGGCUCACCAAGGCGACGACGGGUAGCCGGCCUGAGAGGGCGACCGGCCACACUGGGACUGAGACACGGCCCAGACUCCUACGGGAGGCAGCAGUGGGGAAUAUUGCACAAUGGGCGAAAGCCUGAUGCAGCGACGCCGCGUGAGGGAUGAAGGCCUUCGGGUUGUAAACCUCUUUCAGUAGGGAAGAAGCGAAAGUGACGGUACCUGCAGAAGAAGCGCCGGCUAACUACGUGCCAGCAGCCGCGGUA
rnacentral:rRNA from 1 species